GAUGAACGCUGGCGGCGUGCCUAAUACAUGCAAGUCGAGCGAACAGAUGAGGAGCUUGCUCCUCUGACGUUAGCGGCGGACGGGUGAGUAACACGUGGAUAACCUACCUAUAAGACUGGGAUAACUUCGGGAAACCGGAGCUAAUACCGGAUAAUAUAUUGAACCGCAUGGUUCAAUAGUGAAAGACGGUUUUGCUGUCACUUAUAGAUGGAUCCGCGCCGCAUUAGCUAGUUGGUAAGGUAACGGCUUACCAAGGCGACGAUGCGUAGCCGACCUGAGAGGGUGAUCGGCCACACUGGAACUGAGACACGGUCCAGACUCCUACGGGAGGCAGCAGUAGGGAAUCUUCCGCAAUGGGCGAAAGCCUGACGGAGCAACGCCGCGUGAGUGAUGAAGGUCUUCGGAUCGUAAAACUCUGUUAUUAGGGAAGAACAAAUGUGUAAGUAACUAUGCACGUCUUGACGGUACCUAAUCAGAAAGCCACGGCUAAUUACGUG
rnacentral:rRNA from 1 species